rnacentral:rRNA from 1 species
CGCCUGCCCAGUGAUUCAACGGCCGCGGUAUCCUAACCGUGCAAAGGUAGCAUAAUCACUUGCCUAUUAAUUGUAGGCUAGAAUGAAAGGACUUACGAAAUAAAGACUGUCUCAAUUAAUUAACUAAAAAUUAUUUACUACCUGAAGAAGGUAGAUAAUCUCGAAGGACAAGAAGACCCUAUAGAGCUUAAUAUUUCGGUUGGGGCGACCCGGGGCUAAUAAAUCACCCACUAAAUAAAAGAUCUAUGAAUCAAGUCAAUGACCCUUUAAAGAUCAUAAAAACAAGCUACCUUAGGGAUAACAGGCUAAUCCCACUCAAGAGUUCUUAUCAACAGUGGGGUUUGGCACCUCGAUGUUGGCUUAGGGUAUCUAUAUAGCGCAAAAGUUAUAUAAAGAUGGUUUGUUCAACCAAUAACU